UCCUCAUGGAUACCAGUUGGGUUCACUACCGCUGAGCCUCAAUGGGAACGCCUCGGUUUAGUGAUUCCACACCACUGACUGUCCCCUUACAUCUCCACCAGGAGAGCCACACCAAGACAGAGCAGCGUGAUAUGUUUCUCAUCCCAAGACCCUGGAAGUGCUGUCCAAGCUCUGGGCCUCCGGACACCUGGCUCAGCUCUGCUUCUCACACCGAAGUCUGCCAUCCCCGCUGACUCACCAAUCAGACUUCUGCCAUCCACCAAACAGUCCUCUCCCUUCUCUGAAUGGGUCUGUCAUAUCCCCCUUGGAAUGCUGUGAGACGUUUUCUUUUGUUUCUGGGAACUGGUCUCCUCAUCAUCUCUAAACUCAUUGUCCUACCACCUCUCUGGCUCUCAGGGAAACCUAGUCUCCUUGCUUGAGGGGAAAGGGCAGGCUGGGAUGGGUGCCACGGGAUGCAGGGGUCUCAUGCCCCAUGGAGUGUCCAAACCACCACGCUAGGUGGUGACUUUCUGGGAACACAGACCACUUUAAAAGUGAGGAGCGAAUGACAUUUUUGGUUGGGUCUCUCAUUCUUUCCUUAGCUGGCUUUUGGGUCAAAGGCAGGAGAGCCUAUAGUAUAACAUGGUCUUAAGACUAUUAUCUAUCUGCACCCCAUGCUCCCAGAGCAGGGGUCCUCCACUGGGGGCAAUUUUGCACCUCCCCCCCCCCCCACCUGGGGAUGUUUGGUUAUAUCUGCAGACAUUUAUUGCCCAGAUCAGGGUGGGUGGGGUGAGAGGUGCUCUUGGUCUAUAGUAGGCGGAGGCCAGGGAUGCUGCUAAGCCUCCCAUGUGGCUCAGAACAGCCCCUCCCCCCCCCCCCCAACAAAGAGGGCUCCUGCCCAACAUGUCAACACCAUCAAGGCCAAGAAACUUGGCUCCGAGGUCUCACUCCCUCUGGCUUUCUCUCAAAUGGGUCUUUCCCCUCCAUGUCCAGCCAUUCCCUUUGCCACGUGGCUUCCCUCUGUUUUCCGUUUUGUUCAUUGACUGUCUCACACGUGUUCUCUGCUUCCCAGAGGGCAGGCCCCAUUUCUCACGCUGCUCCUGCUGCCAUCCUGCCACUCACUCAACUCGUGCGAGAAGCACGUGGGAGGGGCUCGGCCAGAACAGGUAGAUACACCAAAGCAAAGACGCUUAUGAAGGACAGCGCUUCCUACAGAUGAUUCAGUUACAUUUUGCCUCUAGAGAUAAAGGCUUAUAGGUGAUGAAAGGGGACUCUUCUCCUUUCAGCAACACGCAAGGAUGGAAACACAAGCUCCCAGGCCCAAGUGCUCCUCCUUCCUCCUCCCUGAGGAAUGAAGGGCUGGCCAGAGAACUCUUUCCCUCCCCCAGGCAGCCUCUGGUUUUUCUCUUUCGGCCAGGAAAGGGGACUCUGGGAGCGCUCCCCCAUGCUACAGCCUUAAUGUCUGGCUGCUUCCUGGACCCCAUGAGGUUUUAUACCUUCUUUGUUUUUCCCAACCAAACCCUGUGGAUUCAGCGAGAGGGUUAAAAGCCGAAACCAGGUUGGGGAAAGCAGACUCUUUGAGAGGGAACCUCGGUCUCCUAAGAUUCCAAGAGCCGUGGGCUCCAAGAAGGGGAGGCUGCCCCCUGGCCUCAUGGCUUAGAUUUUAUUGGCAGCGGCAGCUUUUUCUAGCUGGAAGAUGACCCAGCCACGUGGCAUGCAGGCCUCACCCGUUCCCUCAUUCCUAUAUUCAGGGGAUGAGCUGCUGUGUGCUGCAUCUGCCUGGAAUCUUCAGAGAAACCCAAGACAGAAGGACGUGUGAGGACCUGUCCUGUCAACAGUGCAAACACUGAGGAGGAACAGGGAAAGAAAACAAUUUCAAGAGGGAAGCCGGAAAGGACCUAUUUCAAGGAAAACAUUGGGAGAAGCAAACAGCUGCCUUUGGUGGCUUUUUAAAGCAUCACUGCAAAUGAAGUCUCUGUUACCUCCUCCCUGCCCUCUUUUUGUGUCCCACUUACACAUACUUUUUUAUUUUUAGUACGAGUCUAUUUUGGUGUGUAUGUUCUAUUAGAGAUUAGUAUUUCUUUGACUAUAGACCGCAUGUAAGGGGUCAGGCAUAGUUUGAGUACUUAGCUAAUGGAAAAUAAGGAUGUUCUCUAGCACAAAUAACCAACUAGCCACAAACCACUAAUAUUGGCUACAGAAAUUCACAACACACCUGCGUAACUUUAGCACCAAAGCGAAUUCUAACCAACUCUUGUUCCUCUCUCCAUACACAGAGAGGUCUGAAAGGUGGUUAAGAGAUACUUGGUAUGGGUACUGAGCUGGGCCACACAGUCGGCCUGCUGGCUCAUUCUCCCAGGAGCAAAGUGACUACCUGGAUACAAAGGGAUCUUCUGUCCUCGCUUAAUUACAGAUAAGGCUUCUUUCAACAGCAAGAAGCAGACCUUCCAGAGAACAACAGGACGUAUAAGCAAAACCUCUGAAGUCAUCCAAGCAACGCUGUUGAUUCUCAGCUUAUUUUUAUUUACAUCUUAUUUACCAAGAAGCUAAGACCCCCUCCCCCACCCCCACCCCCAGACACCAAAGGACAAUACCUUUUACAAUUCACAUGCUGAGGCAAAAGGAGACAGGUCACCUCCCUCCAAGUGUCCCACCUUUCCCACUGCUGUACAAGUGUGUGCUAUUUCUAUUAAAAAAAGCACCCCGGUGAGCCUCCGUUUUUAAUUCUUAAGGCAAAAGUCACAGCUGGAUCGCAGCGGAAGCUUACCUCCCACGUUAGUGCCAAGCGGCUCACAGCAACAUUACUUAGUCCCAUGACGAUGGCAAAAAAGGAAUUCAGAUUUUUGUACUCCUUACAGCUGAAACACAAGAGGCACAUGUUGGGAGAAAAUGUCACUUUUGAGUGAGAUAAAAAAAAAUUAGGGUUCUAUUUUCUGAUGGUCAUUAAUAUUCGUCAGGACUCCUUUACGAGAACAGGCAAUGAUAGAUUUAAUGCAUUAUAAAAGUUUCCACUUGGGUGACCGUGUUCUGCUGUUUGAUUUCUCAUUGCAGUUUUAGAAAGGUGAUGGUAUUGGCCAUCGGUGCAGGUUUUGAGAAGGAAAUUUAAAGACACCGACCCUGGGGAUUGUUACUGUAACCCCAAAGCGAUAAAACCUUGCUGGACUUGGAAGGAAACAUCUCAGGGGAUCUGAAGAGAGGAAGCAAAAUGUCCUUGGAGGCUUUCAGACUUCCAGCCUGAAACUGGACACCCCAGGCCCAAGGAGAUCACACUGAACUUCCACCUGCCAUGCAAAUGCUUCUGAUUUGUUGAACAAAUAUCACUGUACAAAUCAUGACCCGUAUACAGCUAGUAACCUCAACAGCUGACCCCAAAUAACGUUACUCGCUCUGUGUUUUAGCAGUGUUGAUGAAGCUGAUCAUUUUGAACCUGUAUUUUGGCCACUCUUUGCUUUUAUGGAUAUAUAUUUGGGAAUAAGAAUAUUGUGGGACAAGACCAAAAGUUCUUAAUUAGAAUGAAAUGUUUAGCCCAGGUAAAU